rnacentral:rRNA from 1 species
UACGAAGGGGGCUAGCGUUGCUCGGAAUCACUGGGCGUAAAGCGCACGUAGGCGGCUUUUUAAGUCAGGGGUGAAAUCCUGGAGCUCAACCUCGGAAUGGCAUUCAAUACUGCUUCGCUAGAGUACUGGAGAGGAGGCUGGAAUUUACGGUGUAGCAGUGAAAUGCGUAGAUAUCGUAAGGAAGGCCGGUGGCGAAAGCGAGCCUCUGGACAGUUACUGACGCUGAUGCACGAAGGCCAGGGGAGCAAACGGG